GAUGAACGCUGGCGGCGUGCCUAAUACAUGCGAGUCGAGCGAACAGACGAGGAUCUUGCUCCUCUGACGUUAGCGGCGGACGGGUGAGUAACACGUGGAUAACCUACCUAUAAGACUGGGAUAACUUCGGGAAACCGGAGCUAAUCCCGGAUAAUAUAUUGAACCGCAUGGUUCAAUAGUGAAAGACGGUUUUGCUGUCACUUAUCGAUGGAUCCGCGCCGCAUUAGCUAGUUGUUAAGGUAACGGCUUACCAAGGCAACGAUGCGUAGCCGACCUGAGAGGGGGAUCGGCCACACGGGAACUGAGACACGGUCCAGACUCCUACGGGAGGCAGCAGUAGGGAAUCGUCCGCAAUGGGCGAAAGCCUGACGGAGCAACGCCGCGUGAGUGAUGAAGGUCUUCGGAUCGUAAAACUCUGUUAUUAGGGAAGAACAAAUGUGUAAGUAACUAUGCACGUCUUGACGGUACCUAAUCAGAAAGCAACGGCUAACUACGUG
rnacentral:rRNA from 1 species